rnacentral:rRNA from 1 species
UAGUGGCGGACGGGUGAGUAACACGUGGGAACGUGCCUUUUGGUUCGGAAUAGCUCCUGGAAACGGGUGGUAAUGCCGAAUGUGCCCUUCGGGGGAAAGAUUUAUCGCCAUUAGAGCGGCCCGCGUCUGAUUAGCUAGUUGGUGAGGUAAAGGCUCACCAAGGCGACGAUCAGUAGCUGGUCUGAGAGGAUGACCAGCCACAUUGGGACUGAGACACGGCCCAAACUCCUACGGGAGGCAGCAGUGGGGAAUCUUGCGCAAUGGGCGAAAGCCUGACGCAGCCAUGCCGCGUGAAUGAUGAAGGUCUUAGGAUUGUAAAAUUCUUUCACCGGGGACGAUAAUGACGGUACCCGGAGAAGAAGCCCCGGCUAACUUCGUGCCAGCAGCCGCGGUAAUACGAAGGGGGCUAGCGUUGCUCGGAAUUACUGGGCGUAAAGGGAGCGUAGGCGGACAUUUAAGUCAGGGGUGAAAUCCCAGAGCUCAACUCUGGAACUGCCUUUGAUACUGGGUGUCUUGAGUGUGAUAGAGGUAUGUGGAACUCCGAGUGUAGAGGUGAAAUUCGUAGAUAUUCGGAAGAACACCAGUGGCGAAGGCGACAUACUGGAUCAUUACUGACGCUGAGGCUCGAAAGCGUGGGGAGCAAACAGGAUUAGAUACCCUGGUAGUCCACGCCGUAAACGAUGAUUGCUAGUUGUUGGGAUGUUUACAUCUCGGUGACGCAGCUAACGCAUUAAGCAAUCCGCCUGGGGAGUACGGUCGCAAGAUUAAAACUCA